UACGUAGGGUGCAAGCGUUGUCCGGAAUUAUUGGGCGUAAAGAGCUCGUAGGCGGCUUGUCGCGUCGACUGUGAAAACCCGCGGCUCAACCGCGGGCCUGCAUUCGAUACGGGCAGGCUAGAGUUCGGUAGGGGAGACUGGAAUUCCUGGUGUAGCGGUGAAAUGCGCAGAUAUCGCUUGGAACGCCAAAGGUGAAAACAGACAGCUGGGAGUGUGCUGACGCUGAGACACGAAAGCCAGGGGAGCGAACGGG
rnacentral:rRNA from 1 species